AGCCGGGCCCAAUAUGAUGAAGAUUAUAAUUUAAGGAAUAGCGAUGUUUCUUCCAAUACAACAAGAAAUGUAAAGUUGAUGCUGAUACUUCUGUUGAAUGUAUGGAGGUUAUAUUGCUCUGUUUUUGCUUUCUGCAAAAAUUAAACACAUGUGCGUCAUUGGGUUAACGUUAGAUUGUUCGGUUAAGAUAUUAAUGGAGUGAGGCAGUGAGCGAGAAGGAUAGGGGUGUAUGUGUAUCUUACAUCAGGCAGUCGGAUGAGAUUAAAAAAGUGUGGAAGCUGGCAAGUUAUUUAUUUAAGAACCUCGACAUUGAGUAUCUUCAAACAGGGUAACUCAGCAUGUAAAAGGGUAUGCUUGGCAGAUCCAUUUGUACGAACUGCAUCCAUAAAGCUCAAUGAUCUGUACACACAAGCGCAGCCUGUUAAAUCACAUCGGAAAGAGGCGCACAUGAAAAUUGUAAUUGUAGAAUUUAUGAUCACAAUGCAUGUUUUAAAGUGAAAGUAAGUAUAAGGAGAUAAUUCUAUCGACAUAUAAAUUGCAUGGCAGCAGAAAUAACAACUAAAGCUUAAACUUUUCAUCUGUGUUCUUUACAAGUUUAAUGGAAAGCUGUAACAGGACAAAUUGCUAAGAUAAAAUUUCAAGACUUGAUAUUAAACUAAGCUCAUAAAACAUUAAGGUUACCAUUAUCAGGGCAUUUGCUAUGCCAAUGAAUACAGAAUAUCAACAAUAUAUUGUGUAAGCUCUUCAAUCGCUCCUGCAUAUAAUACAACUAUUAGAUGACUUGUUAGCAUUAUAUUUCUUACAUUGUCCUUCUCUUCAAGUAGAAGGUCUUUAUUUUAAAUGGAAACAAUGCUUAGAAAGAUACCAAGGCUUUUGAAGAUGGCUAAUGGGUAGGUAAAUUUGAAAACCGAUAUCCGAUAGGCCAAAC
rnacentral:lncRNA from 1 species